rnacentral:lncRNA from 1 species
AGAUGAGGAGAAGAAGAUCUCCACUAAACUGAGCAGCCCGGGAGGGUUCACUUCGAGAGUAUGUUGAUGAACUUUUUGAAAUGUUAGAGAGUCUCGUUGCUGCCCAGCAGACCCAGGAGGAAAGAAGGGAGCUACCUGACCUUCCCUUGCUGCCACAAUUUAAGCCAUUCCUGCAGUAGGAGGAUCUUGAGCCACCCCGAUACAACCAUACUCCUCCACAAU